rnacentral:misc_RNA from 1 species
ACACCUCAACUCCUCAUGGUCUUCUAUGAUGAGCUUGGACUUUGGGGGCUUGCUGGCCCAUUUGGUCAGCUCCUCUCAAAUGAAUCAGCCUACCAGUGUUUGGUGGCACCACAGGUGUGAUAACAAUCUACGCUUGAGGUUUUCCACCAGGCAACCUUCAGUAAUUGGGGUUCACUGGGGCUCAUAAAUGUCUCUCUUCAGUGGAGACAGCUUUUGGAC